rnacentral:rRNA from 1 species
CCUACGGGUGGCAGCAGUGGGGAAUAUUGCACAAUGAGGGAAACCCUGAUGCAGCAACGCCGCGUGGGUGAAGGAGCGUUUCGGCGCGUAAAGCCCUGUCAUCAGGGAAGAAGAAAGACGGUACCCGACCAAGAAGCCCCGGCUAACUACGUGCCAGCAGCCGCGGUAAUACGUAGGGGGCGAGCGUUAUCCGGAAUUACUGGGCGUAAAGGGAGCGUAGACGGCGAGGUAAGCCUGAAGUGGAAGCCCGCGGCACAACCGCGGAACUGCGUUGGGAAAUGUUUUGCUGGAGUAUGGGAGGGGUAAGCGGAAUUCCUGGUGUAGCGGUGAAAUGGGUAGAUAACAGGAGGAACACCGGUGGCGAAGGCGGCUUACUGGACCAUAACGGACGUUGAGGCUCGAAAGCGUGGGGAGCGAACAGGAUUAGAUACCCUUGUAGC